rnacentral:rRNA from 1 species
AUUGAACGCUGGCGGCAGGCCUAACACAUGCAAGUCGAGCGGAUGAAGGGAGCUUGCUCCUGGAUUCAGCGGCGGACGGGUGAGUAAUGCCUAGGAAUCUGCCUGGUAGUGGGGGAUAACGUCCGGAAACGGGCGCUAAUACCGCAUACGUCCUGAGGGAGAAAGUGGGGGAUCUUCGGACCUCACGCUAUCAGAUGAUCCUAGGUCGGAUUAGCUAGUUGGUGGGGUAAAGGCCUACCAAGGCGACGAUCCGUAACUGGUCUGAGAGGAUGAUCAGUCACACUGGAACUGAGACACGGUCCAGACUCCUACGGGAGGCAGCAGUGGGGAAUAUUGGACAAUGGGCGAAAGCCUGAUCCAGCCAUGCCGCGUGUGUGAAGAAGGUCUUCGGAUUGUAAAGCACUUUAAGUUGGGAGGAAGGGCAGUAAGUUAAUACCUUGCUGUUUUGACGUUACCGACAGAAUAAGCACCGGCUAACUUCGUG